GCGCGGUUGGCGGAGUGGUCUAACGUGUACACACCUGAAAAUAAUUUGUUGCUGAGGGUUUGGCAUCCCGAGGACGCAGAUUCGAACAGGGGCCGCGGUUUUUUCCGCCGGUUUUUCCGCAGCAACAAUAAAACACAGGCUACAGUGUAUUUUCCCGGGUUCGAAUCCCGGAUCGCGCA
rnacentral:tRNA from 1 species